GGAGCAGCAGCGGGCGGGGCUGGGCUGGGCUGGGGGGCGAGAACGGCUGUCCUGCUGGCUCUGUCCCUGGCUUUGGCUGUACCUUCAU
rnacentral:miRNA from 1 species